AAACAAAAAAUCACCUCCGAUGAGCCCUUUUUCGUUUCCUGUUUCAUUCAAUUUUUCUACCAUUGUAUUCACUAUUUUAUUUUUUAUAGGUUGGCCGAAGAGAAACACCCAGCCGCGAAGGUGAACGGGUGGAGCUGUCGCAUUAAAAAAUUCUGCAGCUGGGAAAAAUUUAUUUUUGGCUUUUUUCCUAUAAAUUGAGGCUCUUAACAUGUUUUCUUGUAGGGAUGAGUAUAAAAUCGGCCAAAAUCGACCAAAACUUGU
rnacentral:lncRNA from 1 species